GGCAGAGGUUGCAGUGAGCUGAGAUCACGCCUAUGAACUCCAGCCUGGGAGAUAGAGCAAGACUCUAUCUCAAAACAAACAAACAAACAAACAAAGAUAUUGUGAGAGAGAGAAAGAAGGAGAGAGAGAGAGAGACCACAUUCGCUUAACUUUAGAGAGAGACCACAUUCACUUAACUUUCAUUACAGUGCAUUGUUAUAAUUGUUCUACUUUAUUAUUAGUUGUUUUUAAUCUCUUACUGUGCCUAAUUUAGAAAUUAAGCUUUAUUAUUGGAAUGUACACAUAGGAUAAAACAUAGUAUAUUAGGGUUUGGUACUAUCUGAGGUUUCAGGCAUCCACUGGGGUUCUUGGAACAUAAUCCCCACAGAUAAGGGGGGACUCCUGCAGUGUUUAUGAGGGAAUAAAAGGAUAGUAAAGCCCUUUGAAGUCCUAGAAUUUCCCUCUCAUUGUAAUUUUCAAAAAUUUAAGGGGGCUCUGACCUCACAAGGGGAGUCAUAUGGUUUGGCUCUGUGUCCCCACCCAAAUCUCAUCUUGAAUUGUAAUCCCCAGGUGUUGAGGGAGGGAGGGACCUGGUGGGAGGUGACUGGAUCAUGAGGGCGGUUUCUCCCAUGCUGUUCUCGUGGUAGUGAGUGAGUUCUCACGAGAUCCGAUGGCUUUAUGAAUGGCAGUUUCCCCUGCGCUUUCACUCUUCUCUCUCCUGCUGGCAUGUGAAGAAGGUCCUUGCUUCCUCUUUGCCUUCUGCCAUGAUGGUAAAUUUCCUGAGGCCUCCCCAGCCAUGUGGAACUGUGACUCAAUUAAACCUCUUUCCUUUAUAUUAGGUUGGUGCAAAAGUAAUAGUGGUUUUUGCCAUUGUAAGUAAUGGCAAAAACCACACUUCUGUACCAACCUAAUAAAUUACCCAGUAUUGAGUAGGUCUUUAUAUUGUGAGAAUGGACUAAUAUAGGGAGGAAAGCCCUAAUUUUGACACAUUCUAAAACAAAGGACCCCACAACAGGGACUGGGGAAGAAAGGCAGGAAAAAACCCCACUGACUUUUAGAAUCUUUCUUCUUUUGCUGCUGAUUCAGUUUCUAGAGGAAGAGCAACCAGUUGGGUCUGCCUUGGUUCACGUGACACCAUUUGGCUUCUGGAGGGGAGCCCUGCUUACAAACCUCAACCCAACACCACUGGGUGACAUCCAGGGGGAAAGGGAUGGACACUUCCUCAAGAGGAAACCAAGGGGAAUGGAGAACUGGGGAACAAAGAAAAAAUAAUGUCCAUUCCAGUUAAUUUAAACUUUUUUAAAAAAGAAAACUGGGCUGCUCACAAACAAUGAAAUGACCUCUCCCUCUCCCUCUCCCUCUCCCAUGGUCUCCCUCUCCCCAUGGUCUCCCUCUCCCUCUCUUUCCACCGUCUCCCUCUCAUGCCGAGCCAAAGCUGAACUAUACUGCUGCCAUCUCGGCUCACUGCAACCUCCCUGCCUGAUUCUCCUGCCUCAGCCUGCAGAGUGCCUGCAAUUGCAGGCGUGCGCCGCCACGCCUGACUGGUUUUCGUAUUUUUUUGGUGGAGACGGGGUUUCCCUGUGUUGGCCGGGCUGGUCUCCAGCUCCUAACCGCGAGUGAUCCGCCAGCCUCGGCCUCCCGAGGUGCUGGGAUUGCAGACGGAGUCUGGUUUACUCAGUGCUCAAUGGUGCCCAGGCUGGAGUGCAGUGGCGUGAUCUCGGCUCGCUACAACCUCCACCUCCCAGCCGCCUGCCUUGGCCUCCCGAAGUGCCGAGAUUGCAGCCUCCGCCCGGCCGCCACCCCGUCUGGGAAGUGAGGAGUGUCUCUGCCUGGCCGCCCAUCGUCUGGGAUGUGAGGAGCCCCUCUGCCUGGCUGCCCAGUCUGGAAAGUGAGGAGCGUCUCUGCCCAGCCACCAUCCCAUCUGGGAAGUGAGGAGCGCCUCUUCCCGGCCGCCAUCACAUCUAGGAAGUGAGGAGCGUCUCUGCCCGGCCGCCCAUUGUCUGGGAUGUGGGGAGCGCCUCUGCCCCGCCGCCCCGUCUGGGAUGUGAGGAGUGCCUCUGCCCGGCCGCCACCCCGUCUGGGAGGUGAGGAGCAUCUCUGCCCGGCCGCCUCGUCUGAGAAGUGAGGAGACCCUCCGCCCAGCAGCCGCCCCGUCUGAGAAGUGAGGAGCCUCUCCGCCCGGCAGCCACCCCGUCCGGGAGGGAGGUGGGGGGUGUCAGCCUCCCGCCAGGCCAGCCGCCCCAUCUGGGAGGGAGGUGGGGGCGUCAGCCCCCCACCCGGCCAGCCGCCCCGUCUGGGAGGGAGGUGGGGGGGUCAGCCCCCCGCCCGGCCAGCAGCCCCGUCCGGGAGGUGAGGGGCACCUCUGCCCGGCCGCCCCUACUGGGAAGUGAGGAGCCCCUCUGCCCAG
rnacentral:lncRNA from 10 species